UGUAUUUAUACCAAUAAUAGGUAGUAAAUUCUUAACAAACCCUUAUAUCAUGGUGGCAUUUCAUUUUAUUAGAGGAAUAUGUUUAAUAAUCGUAACCACACGAUUACUUUCACUCUUAAUCACAUUUUAUAUACCGCCGUCUUGAAUAGACCUAAAAAUUUUAUUCAAAAAAAAAUUCUAGAAAUUUAGGUAAAGGUGUAAACUAUUUAAAAGAUAAAAUGUAUUACAUUAAAUAAAAAUUUAAGGAUUGAAUUAAACAUAAUCUCAAGAAAAAGGAUUUAUAAGUAUUAUUUAAUUAAUAUUAAAAUUUGAAUUAAAAAAUAAAUGUGCACAUAUCGCCCGUCACCCUUAUCACAAGGUAAGGU
rnacentral:rRNA from 1 species